rnacentral:snoRNA from 1 species
AAGGCCAAAAAACAAUAGUUUCAAGCAGGAGCCUAAAGAAAUGUCUUUCUUCGGUCUGUUGGCCAUUUCAGAACUUAGGAAAUGUAAUGGUCAGUUCAUUAGAAAGAAACAUCU